UAUUCAUCAAGUUUGACCUCAAAUCAGGUAGGAUUACCCGCUGAACUUAAGCAUAUCAAUAAGCGGAGGAAAAGAAACCAACUGGGAUUACCUUAGUAACGGCGAGUGAAGCGGUAAAAGCUCAAAUUUGAAAUCUGGUACUUUCAGUGCCCGAGUUGUAAUUUGUAGAAUUUGUCUUUGAUUAGGUCCUUGUCUAUGUUCCUUGGAACAGGACGUCAUAGAGGGUGAGAAUCCCGUUUGGCGAGGAUACCUUUUCUCUGUAAGACUUUUUCGAAGAGUCGAGUUGUUUGGGAAUGCAGCUCAAAGUGGGUGGUAAAUUCCAUCUAAAGCUAAAUAUUGGCGAGAGACCGAUAGCGAACAAGUACAGUGAUGGAAAGAUGAAAAGAACUUUGAAAAGAGAGUGAAAAAGUACGUGAAAUUGUUGAAAGGGAAGGGCAUUUGAUCAGACAUGGUGUUUUUUGCAUGCACUCGCCUCUCGUGGGCUUGGGCCUCUCAAAAAUUUCACUGGGCCAACAUCAAUUCUGGCAGUAGGAUAAAUCAUUAAGAAUGUAGCUACCUCGGUAGUGUUAUAGCUUAUUGGAAUACUGCUAGCUGGGAUUGAGGACUGCGCUUCGGCAAGGAUGUUGGCAUAAUGGU
rnacentral:rRNA from 1 species